GGGUGAAGGAUGAAUGAAAGCAGCAGGCACCGAAUAAUUUAAGAUGGGGACAUGCGAAGAAGCAGAGAAAGGAAAGAACUGAACUUGAAGGUCAAAGAAGAGAGAAAAAUUAACUUUAAACAGGGAAGUGUUGAAAAGCUUCCCACUUGGUGAACAUCUGUCCAAAGGUUCCGAAGUUGUACCUGUCAUGUCUGACAGAGUCUCCAGUUCUCGGGCAGCAGAAGGCCCCAGAGCGAUGGUGUGGAUGAUGGCACCGCUGCGAGAGACGGCCUCAAAGCAGGAACUUAUUCCAUUAUCUUCCCCAUCUGUCAGCAAUACGAUCUCAGAACCGGAAGUGCUCUGGUCACUGGAGCUGACUUGAUGAUACACGGAAAUGGGCAAGCACUAGACUUCUCAGUACUUUUAAUCCUCCAGAGAUAGACAUGUUGGCUACUCAGUAGAGGAUGAACAAAUCUCCAGUAAUGAUUUCUGGCAUACAGUAGCUACUAAAUGAAUAAAAAUUAA
ensembl:antisense Gm34866 predicted gene, 34866